rnacentral:rRNA from 1 species
AGGACGAACGCUGGCGGCGUGCUUAACACAUGCAAGUCGAGCGGAAAGGCCCUUCGGGGUACUCGAGCGGCGAACGGGUGAGUAACACGUGAGUAAUCUGCCCCUAGCUCUGGGAUAGCUCCGGGAAACCGGGAUUAAUACCAGAUACGACCACUUUAGACAUCUGCUGUGGUGGAAAGAAUUUCGGCUAGGGAUGAGCUCGCGGCCUAUCAGCUUGUUGGUGAGGUAACGGCUCACCAAGGCGACGACGGGUAGCCGGCCUGAGAGGGCGACCGGCCACACUGGGACUGAGACACGGCCCAGACUCCUACGGGAGGCAGCAGUGGGGAAUAUUGCGCAAUGGGCGAAAGCCUGACGCAGCGACGCCGCGUGGGGGAUGAAGGCCUUCGGGUUGUAAACCCUUUCAGCAGGGACGAAGCGAAGUGACGGUACCUGCAGAAGAAGCGCCGGCUAACUACGUGCCAGCAGCCGC